UUGUCUGUAUUGGAGGGAGAUGGAUGUGUUUAUGUGACAAGUGCAGCAUAAUGCAUUUAGAGUAUCAAUGUUCAUAGUGAAAAUGAUGUAUUUACUAACAAAAAACAAAACUUCGAGAACCCCUAGACAAACGAGAUCUGCAGUGUGUAAUCUUUCAGCAGCUACUAAUAAAUAAGUCUUGAUGAAAUUACUCGUAUUAUUCUCAUUCUAAAACACGUGGUGAGAGUGUGGUCCUACCGCAAUAUACCACGUGAGCCAUAAUGGACUGUGAAGUAGAUGUCAGGUUGCGUCAAUGGUUGGUGAAGGAGUUCCUCUUCAAGACCAACGAUGACUUUGGCACAUCGAUUCACAGGAAGUUGCUCCCUGUUUACGGGAAAGACACAGUGGAUUGCAGCAGUAGCCAGCGGUGGUUGCAGAGGUUUAAAGAGGGCGAUUUCUCUCUACUGGACAAUCCACGAUGCGGUAGACUGUUGACAGCAGUGAGUGAUGUGAAUAAGACCAUUGAUCAAAUUAUCUGAAAUGACAGAUAUGUGAUGACACGAUAGUGUGGUGCAAUGACUUGUUUGUCAUUGGAUAGUGUGGUAGCACUGGUACAGUGACUAGGUACAGAAAAAUCUGUGCACAUUGGGUGCCUAGAUUAUUGACAAGAGAAAUGAAAACGAUGAGGAAGAGAGAGAGAGAGAGAGUGUGUGUGUGUGUGUGUGUGUGUGUGUGUGUGUGUGUGUGAGAGAGAGAGAGAGAGAGAGAGAGAGAGAGAGUGAGUGAGUGAGUGAGUGAGUGAGUGAAGGUCUCAUGAUGAUCUUUACUGAAGAGUGGAAACAAUGUUUUGACGGUGUCAUUAUCCAGGUUGAAACAUUGUUGUUUUUGCCCGAACCUGAGAGCAAAACCCAAUCCAUGGAGUGCUAUCAUCCAGGUUCCCCUUAGAAGAAGAAACAAACACUUUCACGAACAGCAGGCCGAAAGGUGAUGGCCUCCUUGUUUUGGGAGCAAUGUGGUGUCAUUUUCAUUGACUUUUUGGAACCUGGCUCCACAAUUAACCCGGACCAUUACUGUUUGUCAUUGGACAAGUUGUGACAUGCCAUCAAGAGGACAGCUUCAGGGACAGUUCAUUAGACUACACCAUGACAAUACCAAACCCCAUACAGCCCUUAUGAUGCAGAAGAAAAUCAGGAAAAUGGGUUGGAAAAUUGUUCCUUAUCCUCUCUACAGUCCGGACUUGGCUCUGUCUCAUCUUUACCUCUUUGGUCAUCUGAAGUCCCACCUGCAUGGUAAAACAUUUGAUAGUGAGAAAUACCUUAUUUUGUCAAGCGAUGGUGUAAAAGUCAAUCCCCAGAAUUUUACCAAAGUGCAUUUACAUUAUGGAAGGAAUGUUGGGCCAGAUGCAUCACAGCUGAUGGAGUCUAGAUUGAGUAGGCUCAAUGUAUAACUAAAUGUUCGUAACUGUUCACAAAAAAUUUCAUUCUCCUCCUGCAAAAAAUAAAAAAUUAGGGAAGA